rnacentral:rRNA from 1 species
UACGUAGGGUGCGAGCGUUGUCCGGAAUUAUUGGGCGUAAAGGGCGCGUAGGCGGUUUCGUAAGUCCCGUGUGAAAGCCCCCGGCUCAACUGGGGAAUUGCACGGGAAACUGCGAGGCUUGAGUUCGGGAGAGGGAAGCGGAAUUCCGGGUGUAGCGGUGAAAUGCGUAGAUAUCCGGAGGAACACCGGUGGCGAAGGCGGCUUCCUGGACCGACACUGACGCUGAGGCGCGAAAGCUAGGGGAGCAAACGGG